CACGGUGUAGAUGCAGUCAUGCAUCUGUGUGCGGUUGCCUAGAGAACUUAAUCCAGAUAAAAAUAGCGAAUGGCAGUUAAUGCCUGAGGCCUUUCAUAAUCACUUAAUUUACUAUUUAUGUUUGGGACGGAGACCUUAAAGUUGCAGUAAGCAGUUUUCUCAACGAACUCCUAACUCCUUGGCAAGCAAGAUUGCAGAAUGACGGACUGGCAUGGCGUUAGCUACGCUAAAAAUGGUCGGCUCCAAGGGUCCUGGUAGUUCAACAGAAAUGUUUUUUGUUGUUGCAGAGCUUACCGAUAACACACACACAUUUCCAUUUAGUCUCAGAGUUCGGUAGCUGUUGGCUAAUGGAGUGAUGGUUUCGCUAAAUUUACAAUUUGCUUGCGAAUCUAAAGUUAGCUGACGUUCACGAUUGCUAACGUUAGCAAAAUAUUUUUUAUACAUGUAAAGUGUUGAACAAGGCUGCCCUCUAUCCCAGGGGUUGACUCCUCACAAUGGUGACGGAACCGGAAAUAAGGGGUUGCUGACUGUGCAGGGGACACCAACUGUGCACUCACGCCAGUUCUAGCUAAUGUGAUCUGUCGACCAGGUAACUUUAGUUGGGUAGUUUGCCUAGGCUAACUUAACCUACCGCACAGGUAACAUUGCAAGCAUUUAAUUCUUCCAAUAACUAGCUGCCAAAUGCAGUAACGUUUUCAAUAAUAACUACCUAGCUACUUCGGUGGCUAAGUUCGUUGUAGGUAAUUGGCUGGAAAGCAGGAAGCCCGGGUAAAUUAGUGUUGAAAUUUAGAUUCUGUCCAGCAGAAACAAUUCGAGCUUCAUGCCCAUCAACUCCACCCACCCCUGAAGCUCUUGCCACCUACUGAAUUAUAUGUUUAUUCUAGUUUAAAAUUAAGGUCUAUAUCCAUUUUUUUUCCUUUCUGUCAUGGCGUAGCGCCCGAGCAGGCCGUUGUUUGCCAUUGUUGAUACUCUUUUCUUACUCAGCGCAUCUAGCUAUGUGUACUAUGAUGUGAACGUGCAAGGUCAAUCUCGUUGAUUGGUUUACGGUGUGAACUGGCCUGUCUCAUUGAUUGGGUUAUGUUGUAGACCACUUUGUUUUGUCAACAAAAUUCCGGACUGAAUCCCUGGUUAUUGUAGGGGGAACAGAAAUGUGCCUACAAAUAUGAUCUUCACAGAAUUUGAAGGUUUAAACAGAGUACAGUGCUUUGCGUAGUUUAGUGGCCACUUUAGUGACCACUUUAGUGACUUCAGCUGCCCUAAUGGCACCAGAGGCACAACUUUAAAUUAGUUCAUGCUGAUAGUGCUGAUAGGAUUGCCUUCCUCCUUGCAUGUCUCUGGAGUGGAGUAGCCUUGCUGAAAAUAGCUUUCAAUAUGGACACAAGCUCAAAUGUUAUAAAGAUAUGGAGCCCACGAUCAGUCCGUACCGCUUGGGUUUCUGACUGGGUUCUUAAGAUAAAAUAGGGACACAGGAUCAAGCAAGGCUAAAUUAUAAAAAAAUGGUUCAAUCUCCCUUUAACUCCCGUUUUGUUAAAAACAUGGCUACCUGGGUUGAGGUGCCCUGUGAAUCCUCCUUGUUCAUACAGCUUAGGUUUGUUACCUGGUAACUGUGUCUAUUUGGUAACUGUAAAAUGCUGCAGGUGACUGUACUGGCUGAAGAUAUAGUGUCGAACUGGAAAAAUAUGGUGUGAUUGUGCAUUUACGGUGUGAUUGUGUCAUAGGAGGAAGAGGGGAGACUAUAGGCUCACUAGUAGGUCUUUGUGGUGAACACCGUUUAGACACUGAAUUAGAAAUGGAUUUGCCUAAAGGUGUGCAUGUGUGUACCAAAUCAACAGAACAAUCACAAGGGCUGUUGGUAACUGGUUUCCUCUCAAGAUCAUCUGGUCAUCAGUUAAAAAACAGAAGAGCAGUAUUUUUUAUCAAGAAACAGUGCAAUGAACCCUUUCCAAGAAAUGUGCAUGAAUUUUGCUAAUCAACAUAUAGCUCUAUACUGAUAUUUACCUGCCAAAGGAAAGUUGAAAACCAGAAAGGCAGUUGGCCACAUUACCCAUACAGUACCCCUUGAAGACACAGGUUGUAAUGGUAAUGGGUGCAAUUUCAAUAUUUACAUCUUGGCACAUAAAGCUGUUAAGA